AUUGAACGCUGGCGGCAGGCCUAACACAUGCAAGUCGAGCGGUAACAGAAAGAAAGCUUGCUUUCUUUGCUGACGAGCGGCGGACGGGUGAGUAAUGCCUGGGAAUAUACCCUGAUGUGGGGGAUAACUAUUGGAAACGAUAGCUAAUACCGCAUAAUCUCUUCGGAGCAAAGAGGGGGACCUUCGGGCCUCUCGCGUCAGGAUUAGCCCAGGUGGGAUUAGCUAGUUGGUGGGGUAAUGGCACACCAAGGCAACGAUCCCUAGCUGGUCUGAGAGGAUGAUCAGCCACACUGGAACUGAGACACGGUCCAGACUCCUACGGGAGGCAGCAGUGGGGAAUAUUGCACAAUGGGGGAAACCCUGAUGCAGCCAUGCCGCGUGUAUGAAGAAGGCCUUCGGGUUGUAAAGUACUUUCAGUUGUGAGGAAGGCAGUUAAGUUAAUAGCUUUGCUGUUUGACGUUAGCAACAGAAGAAGCACCGGCUAACUCCGUGCCAGCAGCCGCGGUAAUACGGAGGGUGCGAGCGUUAAUCGGAAUUACUGGGCGUAAAGCGCAUGCAGGCGGUCUGUUAAGCAAGAUGUGAAAGCCCGGGGCUCAACCUCGGAACAGCAUUUUGAACUGGCAGACUAGAGUCCUGUAGAGGGGGGUAGAAUUUCA
rnacentral:rRNA from 1 species